rnacentral:rRNA from 1 species
AGUGAACGCUGGCGGUAGGCCUAACACAUGCAAGUCGAACGGCAGCACAGGAGGGCUUGCUCUCUGGGUGGCGAGUGGCGGACGGGUGAGGAAUACAUCGGAAUCUACUCUGUCGUGGGGGAUAACGUAGGGAAACUUACGCUAAUACCGCAUACGACCUACGGGUGAAAGCAGGGGACCUUCGGGCCUUGCGCGAUGGAAUGAGCCGAUGUCGGAUUAGCUAGUUGGCGGGGUAAAGGCCCACCAAGGCGACGAUCCGUAGCUGGUCUGAGAGGAUGAUCAGCCAAACUGGAACUGAGACACGGUCCAGACUCCUACGGGAGGCAGCAGUGGGGAAUAUUGGACAAUGGGCGCAAGCCUGAUCCAGCCAUACCGCGUGGGUGAAGAAGGCCUUCGGGUUGUAAAGCCCUUUUGUUGGGAAAGAAAUCCAGCUGGUUAAUACCCGGUUGGGAUGACGGUACCCAAAGAAUAAGCACCGGCUAACUUCGUGCCAGCCGCCGCCGUAA